rnacentral:lncRNA from 1 species
ACAACACAUGAAUAGCGUUAGCAUUGCCAAAGAUUUAGACAACAUACUAAAGUUUGAUAGUAAAAAAAUUAAAAUUGAAAAAGAAAAUGAACAGAAGGCAUACAAAAAUACAAAUGAAACAUACUUAAAAAAAGAGGAACUACAUUGGAUCAAAAUGUAUUAAAAAAGUAAUAAAAAAGUAUGUUGAUAAUUUUACAGAAGAUGAUUAUUUUAAAUAUGGUGUUGUAAAUAAUAAAAUACAUAAAAACAAUAAUAUAUAUAAAAAUAAUGAUAUUAAAUUAGUUAACUCAAAAAAUUUGGAAAUAGAUCGUACAUUAUGUAAAGUCCGAGGUAAAAACUUAUAUGAAGGUAUAUGCGGACAAACUAAUGAAAUUAUAAUCGAAUCGAUUAAUGCAGAAGGAAAGCUUAUAUACGACGAUCAGUGUAUAUUCGAAGGUUAUGUAAAAAAUAAAGAAGAUGUUGAUAAAUUAAAUUAUGCUAAAGAAAAAACCAUGGAAACUAACCAUGAUUAUGAUCAAUUUAUAAAAAAUAAUUUAUUUAAUAAAUAUUUAUAUGAAAGACAUAAUUCGUUAAUAAAUUUGGAUUAUAAUAGAUAUAAUAUAAAUAGUGUUUAUAGUAACUAUAAAAAUAUAAAAGAAAAAAAAGUAAAAGACAGAGAGGGGGAUUCCGAACAUGCGCACAUACGUGAGUAUAUACAUGAUCAAGGGAAUAAACAUGAUCAGGGGAACGAACAUGAUCAGAGGAACGAACAUGAUCAGAGGAACGAACAUGAUCAGGGGAACGAACAUGAUCAGGGGAACGAACAUGAUCAGAGAGAAAACAUAAAUAAGGGAAAAGGUGAAAAUAAUGAAAAAAACGAAGAACACCAACGAAUUGUAUAUUUCAAAAGGACUGAUUCGUUUAAGAAAGCAUGUGCAAAUACACAAAAUGUGCAUGACAUAAGUAGUUUCACCAAUGAAGAGACAAAUCGAAACAAGGCAAAGAUAACAGUGAGUAGCAUAGCACAACCAAAUAAUAAAAAAAUAAUACCACUUAUACAGAAAGAAAUACCGACAUACUAUACAAACAUAUUAAAAAAUAUAAGCGAUUAUAAUGAAACUAUAAAAAAAGCAUAUAUAUUUGAUCAUUUCGACUAUGAUACAGAAGAUUUGAAGUUAAUAAAAGAUAGCUUAAAAUGUAAAAUUCAUAAUUUAAAAAAUGGAACUUAUUUAUUAUCUUAUACUAUUACUAAAAGUGGAUAUUAUUAUCUUUCCAUAUUUUAUCGAAAACAGCCUGUAGGAAACACACCUUAUGUUAUUCACAUGAAAGCAUCAUCAGCAUAUGCACCUAAUUGUGUUUUAUACAAAAAUAUUAAUAAUAAAGUGAUAAUUCCAAAAAAAAAAAAAAAGAAGAAAAAAAAAAAAAAUAUAUAUAUGAAAAGAGAUUUUGAAAAAAAAAAAGAUUCUGUUAUAAUAUAUAAUAGUACGUUACAUGAAGGUGGAUUUUGUUUGUCUAACUAUGAUAAUUGGUCCGACUAUAAUGAUGAUGUAGGAACAAGUUAUAGUGAGUAUAGUAGUAACAGUGGUUGUGAUAGUGGUUGUGAUAGUGGUUGUGAUAGUAGUGGUGAUAGUGGUGGUGAUAGUGGUGGUUAUAGUAGUGGUGAUAGUAGUGGUGUAUACAGUAGUAGCAGCUUAUGUAGUGACAGAAACUCGUUCCAUGAAGACCUUCCAUAUCACUUACGUUCCAUAUCAGAUAAAUAUAAAACACAAAAAAAAAAAAAAAAAAAAAAAAGAAAUAAAAAAACAGAAUAUAAUAUACAUCAUGGUUCUAAUAAUAAUGAUAAAACUAAAUACAUUUUAAAGAUUGAUGAUGAAUACGAAGAAAAUAAAACAUUUAAUAAUUUUUUUAUACAAAGUUAUGAUGCAUAUAAAAAUAAGAUCAGUAAAGGUAUUGAUUCAUUUGAAGUAUCAAGUUUAGGAGGUAUAAAAAUUGUUAGAGUAAAUAAUUUGAAUAAUGGUAUAUAUGAGGUUAUAUAUAGAUAUAUAAAUAAUGAAAAAUUUAAUGAAAAUAAAUACAUGUAUGAUUAUAACAAUUUAUAUAAUAAUAUAAAUAUCGAUAUAUAUAACACAGAACAUAAAUGUACAUAUACUAACAUUUUUAACAUGAACAAUGAAAAUGACCAGUACAUAAAAAAUAAUAAAUAUCAAUACAAUCCGUAUAGAGAAGUAAAAGUAACAUUAAAUGGAGUUCAUAUAAAAGGAUCACCAUUUUAUAUCGUUUUAAAAAAUGAUAAACAAAUAACAUAUUUAAAUAGAAUAGAAAAUUUACUACCUAUUAAAAAUAUAAAUAUAUUAAAUCCAAUUGAAAGUUUAUAUAAUAUUAUUAAUUCAUACAAAUAUGUAGAAGAAAAUUAUAUAACAGAUAGAAAUAAUAAUAGUACCUACUUUAUGAAUGUAAAUCCUUAUUAUAAAAAUAAAGAACUUGAAAUUAUAUUAAAAAAAGUAAACAACAAUAUGAUAUCUCUUAUGACUAUCCCUAUGAAACAACAAUUAUUUAAUUACAUAAAAUAUAUGAAAAAUGAUAUAAAAAUUGUAAAAUUAAAAAAAAUGUUAUAUAAAGAACUAGUAGUUGCAUUAGCUAAAAUGAUAAAUUGUGCAGAUAGACAAUAUAGCAAUUUAAAAGAUAUUGAAACAGAUUUAAUAAAAAAAAAUAAAAUACAAAAAGAAACUACUGAUAAAUUAGAUGUUCUAUACAAAUCUUUAGAAACUAGAAACCUGCAUUCUGUACCCAUCCAAUUUAACAUAAAAGAUAUGGCAGCAUAUAAAGAAAGCCUUACUAUUAAAAAAAAAGAGUUACUAACUAAACAAAACGAACUAAUAGAAAAAUAUAAAAAUAUUAAAAAUAAAGAAAAUCAAUUCUUUAGUGAUAGAGAAAAAAUCACUAACGAACUAAAGAAAAAAUAUGAAAAUCAUAGUGCUAUAUUUGAGCUAGCUACAGAUGCUUUAACUCAAACAAAUAACAAUUUAAAACAUAUGACUUUAAAUACUAUUAAAAAAACAAAAAUGAAGUAAAAACAAAUAAACCCAUAAAAAAUGUUGUAAAUGGUAUGUAU